rnacentral:rRNA from 1 species
AUACGGAGGGUGCAAGCGUUACUCGGAAUCACUGGGCGUAAAGCGCGCGCAGGCGGUCUUUUAAGUUGGAUGUGAAAGCCUACGGCUCAACCGUAGAACUGCAUCCAAAACUAUUAGACUAGAGUGUGGGAGAGGAAGAUGGAAUUAGUUGUGUAGGGGUAAAAUCCGUAGAGAUAACUAGGAAUACCAAAAGCGAAGGCAAUCUUCUGGAACACUACUGACGCUGAGGCGCGAAAGCGUGGGGAGCACACAGGAUUAGAAACCCUAGUAGUCC